rnacentral:lncRNA from 1 species
GACGGUGCCAAAUUGAAACAUAAUAAUCAAAUCCUAAUUGAUUACCCUACAACUCGUUGCCGUCGGUGCUUCUUAAUUUUUCUUCAGCACCAUUUUUCAUCUACAUGCUAAAUUUGAAGUAGAUCUCUUUAUUUCUUCAUUUCACCUCACUGAACAGAAGAAAAUUCUUAGCCCUCACAGCCUUCAAUCAACACAUAACAACCCUAAGCCGAAAGUGCAAAUCCUAGCGUUGUGGUCAUAUUCUCACUGUAUAGAAGUCAUGAGAUGUUUGAGAAGCUUUGGGAUCAUAUUCAGUCUGGUAAUUCUUCAUCAAUUGAUGUUCAUUUGUCUUUUUCAUUUUUAUUCUAUAUUUAUUUGUUUAUCUAUGAUGGUAAUUCCGAUCCACAUGUGCAUUUUUUGUUCGUUUAUUUGCUGCACUAUUUUUUCCCUUGGUUAUUUAUGAUUUGUGAAGUGAUUCUUGUUUGAGGAAAUAAGAGACGGGAUUUGAUUUACAUUGUUUUUGCAGUUCAGAACCAGAGGGAUGUUAUUCCUUUAGAUGUAAAUGGUGACGUUGGGGACUCUGAUGACGAUAAUGAGCAUCCAAUGUUAACAUGUUGAGUGACUUAGGUUUAUGACAAUUGUGUUUCCAUUGUGCUAUAUCGAAAUGGAAGGUGUAGGUUCUGAUUUAGGGAUUUCAUUAAGUUAGGAGUUCUAUUUGAACAUAUCAACUAUUAUGCCUUGUGUUUAGUUGCAUCAAAAGUUAACUAAUUGACGUUCUAUUGGUGAGAAAUAUAAUAUACAUGAUAGGUAAAUGUUUUUGUGUUCUAGUUCUGGAAAUGAUUCGUUACUUGAAUUUUUUUCAAAGAUUACUCUCGUGCAACAUUUGACGUUGAACAAGAACAAUGUAAUAAUGUUGAGAUGAACUGAAAUUUUGAUGUAUUAGACAACAAUGUGAGUCUCAAAUUAAGAUCUAGAAAUUUUGACCUGAUUUGAACUUGUGAUUAAUUGUGUGUGAAUUCCCAAAGUUUGUCAUUUGCUACUGAGGCUGGAUUUUUGACAGAUUUCAAAACUGACUCUUUAUCUUAAGAAGCACUUGUCAAUAAAUAUCAAAAUGAACUCAAAUUUUGAAUUGUUAGUCCUAAAUAUAAAAAAUCUUUUUCUUAAAAGUUUGAUUGAUCUAUUAUAAGUAUUUCAUUUGCUUUUGUGUAUGCAUUGACCAUUGUAGCUUAUGUUGUUGUUUUAUUGACAGUCUCAGUGGAUGUGGUAACCUCCUGUGUUAUGGAAAUGCCGAGAUAACUUUAUAUGUUGUACAUUUUACUCGUCUGUUAGUAUUUUCAAAAAUUUGUUAGCGAGGAUUAGUGGCAAUUUAAGCAUUGAAAUUGAAAUUGAAAUUCUGCUUUCUUAUUAAAAUUUCAGGUUUUGCAGACGUUAAUGUCUUGGGAGUAAUUGAUAGUUGGAUGCCUUGUGUUUUGCUAAAAAAAGUUUUAACUUUUCUUGAUCCAUACGCUAUUAUUGGGUGGUCGAGCAUGUAUUAAAUUUGAUUUUAUUGCCACUACUACCUUGUAACAUCUUUUGAGAUGAAAAUGUUGCAGAUUUUGAUUUGUUACUAUAAAUGUUGUUGGUUGUAGAUCGUCUUUCUGGAUGGAAACAGUUAAGUAUAAAUAUUUGCAGAAGUGUAUAAUGUCAAUUUCAAAUACACAAUAUUUCAUUCUUAUUCAAACUUUAAUUCUGGCAUUGUAAUACUUAGCAGCUUCAAAUGACUACAUCUAUUAGCUUUAAUCACAGCUACUUUAAUCUUCCAAGUCAAAAAAGAGACUACUACAAGGAAUACUUGACAUUGGCUUACACAACAAAAAUCAAAAUAACUUUGUUAACUGAAGUAGCAAUUUAACUACAAUAAAAGAAUGGAAGAAUCAGACCCCUUUUGUCUGCAGAAGUAUUCUACAUGGCAGGACAAAUAAGCAAGAAGACUUCCCAGUCAUUUGAAAGUUCUUACACGAGUAGUGACUUCUCCUCUUCUUACACGAGUAAUUACUGUUUGUGUGCUCCAACAGUUGGGUUUUCUUCUUGGCAGCUGCAGCCCUCCAUACUCGCAACUUGUCCACUCUUCUCAAUUCUAGCUGCAAUUCUUCUUCUACAACC